rnacentral:misc_RNA from 1 species
AAUGUCAGUUUGCGCAGCUGUUCGCUAAGUUUGUUCGUUAUUCGAUGUCGUUGUCGUUAUUCCGAUGGCGCAAUCGGUCGAACUCCGGGAAAAUAAUAAAUAAAUACAACAAAUAAAAUAAAUCAAAAAGCAAAGGUUCAAACAACCAAUAAAAAAAUAAAAGUGGUAGGCAUUUAAAGUGACGAACUUGACCUUCCAAGCUUAUAUUCUAAGUGCAUUGUGUUGUGUGGUGUCUUGUUUAUUGAUUGUUGAAUUAAGUUUACGAUAUGGAUACGACGGGAUCCAUCAACGCUGCGGCGUGCGAUACGAUCGAGAAUGACGAAGGUUUAGAUGAGGUUCUUGAUGACUCUGAAGAGAAAGAACUGGUCACAGAUUCAUGUUCUACCAAAGUACUGGACAUCACGGAAGAGCCACGAGAUAGAUAUAACGUAGUUUACUUCCUCUUCUAUUUAUUCGGGAUCACAUCCUUAGUCCCAUGGAAUUUCCUCAUCACUGCUAAUGAUUACUGGAUGUACAAAUUUCGAGACACCACACCAAAGAACCUCACAGUCCUGGAGGUGACGAAGACUCAGUUCCAGGCAGAGUUCACAUCAUACCUGAAUGUGGCCACCGCUAUACCCAACUUGAUAUUCCUGAUACUUAACUUCUUGUACGGCCAUUUGGUAUCAGUAAAGAGUCGCCUGCAGGGCUCUCUCGUCGUGGUGACACUAUGCUUCCUCCUCACCACAUCUCUCGUGCAAGUCGACACGGACGAAUGGCAGAACACGUUCUUUAUUAUCACGAUGGUCACCGUAGUCGUCGUCACCGCUGCCAGCGCAAUCUUCAUCGGCGGGAUUGUGGGGAUCGCCUCCAGAUUCUCCAAGGAAUACAUGGGGGCGAUAGUUAGCGGGCAAUCCCUAGGAGGGAUUAUAGCUGCUGUCGCACAAAUCAUAUCCCUAGCAUUCAACAUGUCCCCUCUACACAGCGCCCUUAUAUACUUCGCUAUUGCAGACAUAAUGGUCAUAUCUUCGCUUAUUUCCUACGUCCUUUUAUACAAGAUAGACUUUUUCACAUAUCAUAUAUUAAGAGGUUCUGGGGGCAUAGCGAGUAAUAGACACAGAGAGGUGUCUAUAACGCUGAUCUUGAAGAAAGUGUGGGUAUACGCGUUCAGUAUAUUUGCCGUAUUUGGGAUCAGCAUGUGUGUCUACCCCGCUGUGACGGUGUUGGUACAGUCUCAUCCGGUUACCAAAGGGACUAUUUGGAAUACUAAAUUCUUCGUGCCGGUAGUGAACUACCUUAUCUUCAACUGUGGAGACUACGCCGGGAGAUUAGUUGCUGGAUUCCUCUUACGGCCAACAAACCAAUGGCUGAUAGCCGGCGCGAGCGUGCUCCGCAUCAUCGGCGUCCCUAUGCUGAUGCUGUGCAACGCGCAGCCGCGCAGCCACCUGCCCGUCAUCUUCCUCUGGGACUGGGAGUACAUCAUCAUCAUGAUAGUGUUCGCCUUUACCAACGGAUACCUCACCAACAUCGUCAUGAUCAACUCUACCAGGGUGGUGGACGUCCACGAACAGGAGAAAGCGUCGUCGGUAAUCGUGACGAUGCUCAGCGUGGGGCUGACAGUUGGAGCUGCUGUCGGUAUGUUGCUCGUCAGACUGCUCUAAACUUACGAGACUAAUACCUUAAAGAAAAAAGUUUCGAGACAUUUACCUAAGAGAAAGUUAAAGUUUACCUAAGAACAAAAGAAAAGACGAAAGAAGUUAACAUAAGGGAAAAGGAAGAGGAAAAGAAAAGUAAUUAACCUAAGUGAUACUUACGAGGAAUUAACCUAAGAGAAAUGUUAGAGAAAAGGGGAGUAAAAUUACCUAUUAGGUAUAUUACUAUAAUUAUACCAUUUUAUGAACAAAAUUAUUUGAAUUAUUUUGAACUUUACCACAUUACUAACUUUAUAAAAAAUACUUUUUUGGUGAUUUGAUGUGACGCAGGUACAUUUUAAGUUUUAAGACAAUAGAGAUUUUAGUUCGUUAUAAUAGACAUCGGCGCUGUACUAUAAAAACGUCGUAAAUAGCAUUUUUGUCUUACGAAAUAUUACAUUAACUUCAAGAAUACAUUGGUGCUGAUUCCUGUAGACACCAUCUAAUUUUAAGUUAUACCUGUCAUUUUCUUAUCCGCCGAAAAGGAAAGGGACGGGUAAUCGACAGGCGUAAUAUUUAUUGAACACACGUCAAUUUUAGACAGAUAUUUAAAAAUCCCUUCCAAAAUUUUAUAUUGGUCAAUAACCCGAUAGAAUUAAGUUGACAGCACACGUCAAACGGGUUGCAUAUUUAAGAUGCCUAUUUUAUUCGCCCGGGUUAUUCAUUAAUUUUAAAAUUAAACAGUUGUCAUUAUCCGUCCCUUUCCUAUUCGGCGGAUAAGAAUAUGACGGAUAUAACUUAAAAUAAAAUUA